rnacentral:rRNA from 1 species
AACCUCCGCAAUGUGAGAAAUCGCGACGGGGGGAUCCCAAGUGCCAUUCUUAACGGGAUGGCUUUUCAUUAGUGUAAAGAGCUUUUGGAAUAAGAGCUGGGCAAGACCGGUGCCAGCCGCCGCGGUAACACCGGCAGCUCUAGUGGUAACAAUUUUUAUUGGGCCUAAAGCGUCCGUAGCCGGUUUAAUAAGUCUCUGGUGAAAUCCUGUAGCUUAACUGUGGGAAUUGCUGGAGAUACUAUUAGACUUGAGACCGGGAGAGGUUAGGGGUACUCCCAGGGUAGAGGUGAAAUUCUGUAAUCCUGGGAGGACCGCCUGUUGCGAAGGCGUCUAACUGGAACGGUUCUGACGGUGAGGGACGAAAGUUAGGGGCGCGAACCGGAUUAGAUACCCGGGUAGUCCUAACUGUAAACGAUGCGGACUUGGUGUUGGGGUGGCUUUGAGCUGCUCCAGUGCCGAAGGGAAGCUGUUAAGUCCGCCGCCUGGGAAGUACGGUCGCAAGACUGAAACUUAAAGGAAUU